UACGUAGGGACCAAGCGUUGUUCGGAUUUACUGGGCGUAAAGGGCGCGUAGGCGGCGAAUCAAGUCAGCUGUGAAAUCUCCGAGCUUAACUCGGAACGGUCAGCUGAUACUGUUUUGCUAGAGUGCAGAAAGGGCAACCGGAAUUCUUGGUGUAGCGGUGAAAUGCGUAGAUAUCGGGAGGAACACCAGUGGCGAAGGCGACUACCUGGCCUGUUCUUGACGCUGAGGCGCGAAAGCUAGGGGAGCAAACGGG
rnacentral:rRNA from 1 species